rnacentral:rRNA from 1 species
UACGGAGGAUCCAAGCGUUAUCCGGAAUCAUUGGGUUUAAAGGGUCCGUAGGUGGACGAUUAAGUCAGAGGUGAAAUCCUGCAGCUCAACUGUAGAAUUGCCUUUGAUACUGGUUGUCUUGAAUCAUUGUGAAGUGGUUAGAAUAUGUGGUGUAGCGGUGAAAUGCAUAGAUAUCACAUAGAAUACCGAUUGCGAAGGCAGAUCACUAACAAUGCAUUGACACUGAUGGACGAAAGCGUGGGGAGCGAACGGGAUUAGAUACCCCGGUAGUCCACGCCGUAAACGAUGGAUACUAGCUGUCCGGCCUUCGGGCUGGGUGGCUAAGCGAAAGUGAUAAGUAUCCCACCUGGGGAGUACGUUCGCAAGAAUGAA